rnacentral:rRNA from 1 species
GAUGAACGCUGGCGGCGUGCCUAAUACAUGCAAGUCGAGCGAAUGGAUUAAGAGCUUGCUCUUAUGAAGUUAGCGGCGGACGGGUGAGUAACACGUGGGUAACCUGCCCAUAAGACUGGGAUAACUCCGGGAAACCGGGGCUAAUACCGGAUAACAUUUUGAACCGCAUGGUUCGAAAUUGAAAGGCGGCUUCGGCUGUCACUUAUGGAUGGACCCGCGUCGCAUUAGCUAGUUGGUGAGGUAACGGCUCACCAAGGCAACGAUGCGUAGCCGACCUGAGAGGGUGAUAGGCCACACUGCGACUGAGACACGGCCCAGACUCCUACGGGAGGCAGCAGUAGGGAAUCUUCCGAAAUGGACGGAAGUCUGACGGAGCAACGCCGCGUGAGUGAUGAAGGCUUUCGGGUCGUAAAACUCUGUUGUUAGGGAAGAACAAGUGCUAGUUGAAUAGCUGGCACCUUGACGGUACCUAACCAGGAAGCCACGGCUAACUACGUGCCAGCAGCCGCGGUAA